CCUACGGGAGGCAGCAGUGAGGAAUAUUGGUCAAUGGACGAGAGUCUGAACCAGCCAAGUAGCGUGAAGGAUGACUGCCCUAUGGGUUGUAAACUUCUUUUAUAAAGGAAUAAAACGAGGCACGUGUGCCUUUUUGCAUGUACUUUAUGAAUAAGGAUCGGCUAACUCCGUGCCAGCAGCCGCGGUCAUACGGAGGAUCCGAGCGUUAUCCGGAUUUAUUGGGUUUAAAGGGAGCGUAGAUGGGUUGUUAAGUCAGUUGUGAAAGUUUGCGGCUCAACCGUAAAAUUGCAAUUGAUACUGGCAGUCGUGAGUACAGUGGAGGUAAGCGGAAUGCGUGGUGUAGCGGUGAAAUGCUUAGAUAUCACGAAGAACCCCGAUUGCGAAGGCAGCUUACUAAACUGUGACUGACAUUGAUGCUCGAAAGUGUGGGUAUCAAACAGGAUUAGAUACCCUUGUAGUC
rnacentral:rRNA from 1 species